UACGGAGGGUGCAAGCGUUGUUCGGAAUCACUGGGCGUAAAGCGCGUGUAGGCGGUUGGGUAAGUCAGAUGUGAAAGCCCCGGGCUCAACUCGGGAACUGCAUCUGAAACUGCCCUGCUAGAGUCCCGGAGAGGAAGGCGGAACUCCCAGUGUAGGGGUGAAAUCCGUAGAUACUGGGAAGAACACCGGCGGCGAAGGCGGCCUUCUGGACGGUGACUGACGCUGAGACGCGAAAGCGUGGGGAGCAAACAGG
rnacentral:rRNA from 1 species